UUCCGGUUGAUCCUGCCGGACCUGACUGCUAUCGGGUUGAUACUAAGCCAUGCGAGUCAUUGUAGCAAUACAAGGCAGACGGCUCAGUAACGCGUAGUCAACCUAACCUAUGGAUGGGAAUAACCUCGGGAAACUGAGAAUAAUGCCCAAUAGAACACUAUACCUGGAAUGGUUUGUGUUCCAAAUGAUUUAUCGCCGUAGGAUGGGACUGCGGCCUAUCAGUUUGUUGGUGAGGUAAUGGCCCACCAAGACUAUUACAGGUACGGGCUCUGAGAGGAGUAGCCCGGAGAUGGGUACUGAGACACGGACCCAGGCCCUAUGGGGCGCAGCAGGCGAGAAAACUUUGCAAUGUGCGAAAGCACGACAAGGUUAAUCCGAGUGAUUUGUGCUAAACGAAUCUUUUGUUAGUCCUAGAACCACUAACGAAUAAGGGGUGGGCAAGUUCUGGUGUCAGCCGCCGCGGUAAAACCAGCACCUCAAGUGGUCAGGAUGAUUAUUGGGCCUAAAGCAUCCGUAGCCGGCUCUGUAAGUUUUCGGUUAAAUCUGUACGCUCAACGUACAGGCUGCCGGGAAUACCGCAGAGCUAGGGAGUGGGAGAGGUAGACGGUACUCGGUAGGAAGGGGUAAAAUCCUUUGAUCUAUUGAUGACCACCUGUGGCGAAGGCGGUCUACCAGAACACGUCCGACGGUGAGGGAUGAAAGCUGGGGGAGCAAACCGGAUUAGAUACCCGGGUAGUCCCAGCUGUAAACUAUGCAAACUCAGUGAUGCAUUGGCUUGUGGCCAAUGCAGUGCUGCAGGGAAGCCGUUAAGUUUGCCGCCUGGGAAGUACGUACGCAAGUAUGAAACUUAAAGGAAUUGGCGGGGGAGCACCACAAGGGGUGAAGCCUGCGGUUCAAUUGGAGUCAACGCCGGA
rnacentral:rRNA from 1 species